AGCGAACGCUGGCGGCAGGCCUAACACAUGCAAGUCGAACGAACUCUUCGGAGUUAGUGGCGGACGGGUGAGUAACACGUGGGAACGUGCCUUUAGGUCGGAAUAACUCAGGGAAACGUUGUGCUAAUACCGAAUGUGCCCUUCGGGGAAGGAUUAUCGCCUUUAGAGCGGCCCGCGUCUGAUUAGCUAGUUGGUGAGGUAAAGGCUCACCAAGGCGACGAUCAGUAGCUGGUCUGAGAGAAUGAUCAGCCACAUUGGGACUGAGACACGGCCCAAACUCCUACGGGGAGGCAGCAGUGGGGAAUCUUGCGCAAUGGGCGAAAGCCUGACGCAGCCAUGCCGCGUGAAUGAUGAAGGUCUUAGGAUUGUAAAAUUCUUUCACCGGGGACGAUAAUGACGGUACCCGGAGAAGAAGCCCCGGCUAACUUCGUGCCAG
rnacentral:rRNA from 1 species